AACGAACGCUGGCGGCAGGCCUAACACAUGCAAGUCGAACGCUGUAGCAAUACAGAGUGGCAGACGGGUGAGUAACGCGUGGGAACCUUCCCAGUGGUACGGAAUAGCUCAGGGAAACUUGAGGUAAUACCGUAUAAGCCCCUAGGGGGAAAGAUUUAUCGCCAUUGGAUGGGCCCGCGUCGGAUUAGCUAGUUGGUGGGGUAAUGGCCUACCAAGGCAACGAUCCGUAGCUGGUUUGAGAGAAUGACCAGCCACACCGUGGGACUGAGACACGGCCCAGACUCCGUACGGGUGGCAG
rnacentral:rRNA from 1 species